rnacentral:tRNA from 1 species
GCCAUGGCUCAGUGGAAGAGUAUCUGCUUGGCAUGCAGAAGGUUCUAGGUUCAGUCCCCAGCAUCUCCA